GACUGUAGCUCAGUGGAUAGAGCACUGGACUCCGGUUCCAGGUGCGGGGGUUCGAUUCCCUUCAGU
rnacentral:tRNA from 1 species